AACUUUGCGCAGCGGCGAUAUCGUAACCAAUGAGGUUUAUCCGAGGUGCGAUUAUUGCUAGUUGAAAACUAAUACCAAUACCCCGCCGUCUCUUUAAUUUUUUUUUCUGUAUGUCUUAUA
rnacentral:snRNA from 1 species